rnacentral:misc_RNA from 1 species
UUUCUGUAGGUGAACCUGCGGAAGGAUCAUUAUUGAAUAAACCUGAUGUGGUUGUAGCUGGCCCUUUCGGGAGCAUGUGCACACCCGUCGUCUUUAUCUUUCCACCUGUGCACCUUUUGUAGACCUGGAUGUAACACUUUCCGAGGCAACUCGGUCGGGAGGAAUGCUGUCAGCUUUCCUUGAAUGUCCAGGCCUAUGUUUUCAUAUACCCCAAAGAAUGUAACAGAAUGUAUUAUUGGGCCUUGUGCCUAUAAACUAUAUACAACUUUCAGCAACGGAUCUCUUGGCUCUC